rnacentral:lncRNA from 1 species
CUCACCCAGGCUGCCCAUUUUGCACUGUGGGCCAACCAUGCUGAUUCACUGAUUCACUCCACCAACAUUUAUAGGGGGCCGUGCUCCUGUGCCAUACCAUUUUCACAAUAUCUUGCACUUAACACAUGUAGCAAUACCUACAGGAUGGGGAAAUUGUGUGAUUCACCAGUAUUUGUUUAAGGGGAAUAUGACAUUUUAUUUCUAGAUAUUGUUUGACUUUGUAUAAAAAUAUAUACUGUACAGAUUCAGAAGUAUAUUAUGACAAAAACUUUUAGAAAAAUAUUUAUUUUUACUGUUU